GGAAAAAUGGUAGAGAGCAUGAAGAAGGUUCGUGUUCGAUUGACAAUGGAUAAUGGUCUGGAAGAUGUAUUGGCACAAAAGAAUUUUGGAAGAGUAUCUUUGCGCAGAUUAAGAAUACAACGAAUAAGCCAGGAAGCCCUAGAGCAGAAUGGGAUAUUGAGCCAGGAAGAUCUAAGCAAAUAUUUACAUUGUAAUAUAAGGACAAUAAAGCGUGAUAUACGUUUUAUUAAGGAAUCCGGAAUUGAAGUACUAACCCGGGGAGUAUU
rnacentral:misc_RNA from 1 species